UCAAGACAUAGAGGUAAGGUGAGUUUGCC
rnacentral:piRNA from 1 species